rnacentral:rRNA from 1 species
UAGUUGGAUUUGGGUCGACCGGGCCGCCGGGCCGCCGCCUCCGUGUGGCGAGUUCCCGUGUGUCCCCGGGACCGCACGUUCACCCCCGCAGUGCUCUUAACUGAGUGUCUGCGGUAGCGGGUGACCGAACGUUUACCUUGACAAAACCGGAGUGCUCGAGGCGUGGGCGUUCGCCGCCCGUACGUCCUCGCUGGGAAUAAUGGAAGAGGACCGUUGGUCAAAAAAGGUUUUUUGUCAGAGAGGUGGGAGAGCAAAAAAGAGGUUGUGCUGGCGGGGGGUUACAAAGGGGGGAGACUCCCUUUCCCCCUCUGGUCUUCCUCUUUCUCCUCCUCGAAACCUUCCUCCCCGCGUACGGCAUUGCGGAUCGGCUGGCGCUUUAUGGCGGAAAGGGUGGUUUGAGAAAGAAGGGUGAAAGCAGGUGGCUGCCGGAAGGUGAAAACUUGACGGCCGGUCGUUUGUGGAAGCCUGGAAUCUUAUUCCCCCUCGCUGUCGUGGUGCUUCCGUACCCUCUGUGUCAGCGGGAGGAGGUCGAAAAUCAAAAUAAAAAAACGUGUCAUGAUUAAGAGGGACGGCCGGGGGCAUUCGUACCGCGGCGCGAGAGGUGAAAUUCUAGGACCGUCGCGAGACGAACGAUAGCGAAAGCAUUUGCCAAGAAUGUUUUCCUUAAUCAAGAACGAAAGUCGGAGGUUCGAAGGCGAUCAGAUACCGCCCUAGUUCCGACCUUAAACCAUGCCGUCCGACCGCCCGCCAGGGUUACUACCGCGACUCGGCGGGCGGUGACUUUCCACCGGGAAACCCUUAAGCUUUCGGGUUCCGGGGGAAGUACGGUCGCAAAGCUGAAACUUAAAGGAAUUGACGGAAGGGCACCACCAGGAGUGGAGCCUGCGGCUUAAUUUGACUCAACACGGGGAACCUCACCCGGCCCGGACACCGCGAGGAUUGACAGAUCGAUAGCUCUUUCUCGAUCCGGUGGGUGGUGGUGCAUGGCCGUUCUUAGUUGGUGGAGCGAUCUGUCUGGUUAAUUCCGAUAACGAACGAGACUCUAGCCGGUUAAGUAGCCCGAGUGGCGUGUUGUUGAUUAAAAACCGCCCUAGCGGCUUUCGGGGUGCUUCUUGGAAGCUGUCUGGCUUUAACGCCGGUGGGACGGGGAUGUGGAAGAUGACGGUCGGAUCCGCGUGCGUCGCGGCUCGGAUCUAGUUUUUUAACUUCCCCUUAAUCCUGUCGCGUUUCGGCCUUUCACUUCUUUGGGCCUCUGUUUGCCUAACUGGGGUAGAUAAAACGUUAACGAGAGUCGGGGGCAGUGGGCUUUACU